CCCUUAGAUGUUCUGGGCUGCACGCGCGCUACACUGAUGCACUCAUCGAGUUUAUGACCUUGUCCGAUAGGAUUGGGUAAUCUUCUUAAAAUGCAUCGUGAUGGGGAUAGAUUAUUGCAAUUAUUAAUCUUCAACGAGGAAUUCCUAGUAAGCGCGAGUCAUCAGCUCGUGCUGAUUACGUCCCUGCCCUUUGUACACACCGCCCGUCGCUCCUACCGAUUGAGUGGUCCGGUGAGGCUUUGGGAUCUGAGCGGAAAGAGCGUUUCGCUGUUUCUGCUCGGAAAACUCAGUCGAACCUUAUCAUUUAGAGGAAGGAGAAGUCGUAACA
rnacentral:rRNA from 1 species